UACAGAGGUCCCGAGCGUUGUUCGGAUUCAUUGGGCGUAAAGGGUGCGUAGGCGGUCUUCUAAGUUUGAUGUGAAAUCCCGGGGCUCAACCCUGGAAUUGCCUUUAAUACUGGCGGCCUUGAGUAUGGCAGAGGUGUGUGGAACUCCGAGUGUAGAGGUGAAAUUCGUAGAUAUUCGGAAGAACACCAGUGGCGAAGGCGACACACUGGGCCAUUACUGACGCUGAGGCGCGAAAGCGUGGGGAGCAAACAGG
rnacentral:rRNA from 1 species